GUGAGCCGGGGCUCAGCGCGAGAGAGGGACGGCGGAAGAGACCGGCAGGUGUGGGCGCGGGGCUGAGCAGCCCGACGGCGGGAGUCGCAGUCGCUCGGUGCAUGGGCCAGUGAGGACGAGCGGAGAUCUCCUCGCCGCGGCGGAGGCGGACAGCGCCAGAGCAAGGCGCUGCCCGGCGACCCUGCGUCCGAGCGAGCGGAACCUUGCGCUUCGGCAGGGGACGGUCCGAAGUCCGCGCUAUGGAAGAGGAGAAAUAUUUGCCUGAGCUGAUGGCAGAGAAAGAUAGCCUGGAUCCAUCUUUUGUGCAUGCAUCGCGCCUUUUGGCGGAAGAAAUUGAAAAAUUUCAAGGUUCUGAUGGAAAAAAGGAAGAUGAAGAAAAGAAAUAUCUUGAUGUCAUCAGCAACAAAAACAUAAAGCUCUCAGAAAGAGUAUUGAUUCCUGUCAAGCAAUAUCCAAAGUUCAAUUUUGUGGGGAAAUUGCUCGGACCGAGAGGCAACUCAUUGAAGAGACUACAGGAAGAAACAGGUGCUAAAAUGUCUAUCCUGGGCAAAGGAUCAAUGAGAGAUAAAGCAAAGGAAGAAGAAUUAAGGAAGAGUGGGGAAGCCAAAUAUGCCCACUUGAGUGAUGAACUUCAUGUAUUAAUUGAAGUGUUUGCUCCACCUGGGGAAGCUUAUUCACGAAUGAGUCACGCAUUGGAAGAGAUUAAAAAAUUCCUGGUUCCCGACUACAAUGAUGAGAUUCGUCAGGAACAGCUACGUGAAUUAUCUUACUUAAAUGGCUCAGAGGACUCUGGUCGUGGCAGAGGCAUUAGAGGCAGAGGGAUCAGAAUAGCUCCCACAACCCCUUCAAGGGGCCGUGGGGGUGCCAUUCCUCCCCCGCCACCACCUGGACGAGGUGUACUCACCCCUCGAGGGGCUACUGUGACUCGCGGAGCUCUUCCAGUGCCCCCUGUAGCAAGAGGAGUCCCAACCCCACGAGCCCGGGGGGCACCGACAGUGCCAGGAUAUAGGGCACCCCCUCCUCCAGCCCAUGAAGCUUAUGAAGAAUAUGGUUAUGAUGAUGGCUACGGGGGUGAAUAUGAUGACCAGACCUAUGAGACUUAUGAUAACAGCUAUGCCACCCAAACGCAAAGUGUCCCUGAAUACUAUGACUACGGUCAUGGAGUAAGUGAGGAUGCCUAUGACAGCUACGCACCAGAAGAAUGGGCCACAACCCGCUCCAGCCUGAAGGCACCACCGCCAAGGUCAGCCAGAGGGGGAUACAGGGAGCACCCCUAUGGUAGAUAUUGAAGGUCCUUCUCACCCGUGACCUCACCUCAAAGACAAUUCAUAGCCUGUGGUCUCCACAUAAACAGCAACAAGACAAGUAUCCACAAGCAAAGAGCACAUAAGUGAAUAGCAGACGUGGUGGCUAACAAGGAUAGAGGUGAAGAUGUGUGACUGAGAAGCCAGAAGAUGGAAUAAAUCUGACACUGACUGGAGGUUCAGCGUUUGGAACGAUGGAGGCCAUCUGAGAAGAUCACUUGGAUUUGAACCAAUGUGAUUCUGAAGUGACUAUGAAAAACAACCACUGAUUAAAAUAUAUGUGGACCAUAUUAAUACGUUAAUUAUGCGGCUUUAAAAAGAAGUGGUUACUAUGGGCUGGGAUUUUAAAAGAAGGCUUCCCAGAAGAGGUGAGAUUUGGAUGAAAAGUCAGAGAUGGACAGAAGGUGGACCCAAAUGCAAGACUACCAGAUGGCUAAUUGGAAUCUUAGUAACUGUAUUGGCUACAAAAUAACCCAAGGAACUUUGGUUUGAGAAAAGACUGGCACCGGGCUCAAGAAAGGAAGUGAGCCGGUUUACCAGCACAUGACCGAGUUACAUGCACAUUUUGGAAGAAGAAGAAACCUAAUAUAAAUAUAUGUCUGUAAUUAAGAACACUGCUUGUUAAGAACAUAUUUAAAGAAGACACUGCUUAAGAUGGAUAGUAUUUUGUUUGCCUGCUAGGGCUCAUUUCUCUUAUUAUGCCAGUUAGCCACCCUGCCUCUCUUAGCUCCUCUCUCCUGAAAAUAAGAAUAUAAUAAUACCUACAUCAAAGAAUCGUCCUGAUGAUUAAAUGAGUUAACAUGUGAUACGCUUUCAAGGUGCCUGGCACAGGGGAGGUGCUUGAUAAGUAUUUUCUAUUACUAUCAGCAGGAGAUCCAACUAUAUGGCAUUUUAUAGUCUUCUCCUAAAAGACUGCUUAUUUUCAAUGUUAUUUUCCUUGUUGCGUUGUCCUAUCUUUUAGAAGUCCAUACCUAACUUCCACAAGUUCUGUGAAGAUCCGUUAAAUGAAAGCAUAUCAAAUCAUUUUGAAAUGCAUAAAGUACUAUGUAAAUGAAAGGUGGAAUAAUUAUGUUAAAGGCAUCAUCUUGAAUUUUGUUUAUACUGCAUCUUUGAAAUGAGCAUCAGAUUUUUCUCCAGGCAGUUACGGCUCCUACAGAAACAAACACAGAUGGUGCCCAAACCUCCUACUGAAUAGUUGUAGGCAAUGGCAUUUAUCAAAAUACCGCAGGUCACUAAAUGUGCAAAGACUCAAAACAAACCCCACAUCUCAGUGUCAGGCCAGCAUGGUAAUUUAGGCAAAUAAGCCUUUGUUUGAUAAUUCAAGGAUCUUCUGAUUUGUCAAAUAUACUAGCACAACAAACAGAAAAUCCUACAUGUAGGCUAAGUUUUACAAAAUAGGACAUUAAAAUGCAAUUUCUUUUAGAGAAAAAAAAAUCAGGUUUCUUUACUGAUGAGAGUUUCUAGCCAAAUUAGAAUGUAUUUUGGGGAUGUGCAUGCAGAUGUUCUGAUUUUACAUUGACCUUCUAGCCAAGCAAAGCAAAGAAAGAGAGGAAACAUGACUUAAAGAUAGGUCUUCUUCUACUCAAACCUUCUAAGAUCCCAGUUUUUGGAGUGCAGGCUUCCUUUUGUCAGCCCCUAGUCCUGGGUUUCUAUAACAUAACUCUCUUGAUGGGGUCAUGGGCUUGUUUGCCCCUGGAUCCAUUCCUUGCCCUCCCUCUGGCUGACUGGGGGACAGGAAAUUCUGAUCUCUGAGGCUUCCUUUCCUAGAGCGCUGUCUCAGGGGAACUGUCGCUGGCUUCUGCCACUGGCACUUGGGAGUGGUGACAUUGGGAGGUGACAAGAGAUGGGGAAGAAGGGAGCAGUCAGGGCACUCUUCUCAACACUGUUUGCCUCCGGCACCUUCUCAGGCAGAAGCUGUGUCUCUUCCGUGCCCACCUCCUGCUGCUAAAGCCUGCCACGUUCCAGUUCUUACCAUGGCUCCUAGGUUUUGGUACCCUCUUUUCACCCUGUGUCCCUCCAGCUAGGGUGGGUUAUACCUUGCUCCUGUGGCUAAGUCUCCUGUCACCUCACUUUUCUCUGGUUGGCUUUCAUCACCUGUUUUGUGCUUUAAUCAAUUCCCUGCCUUUGAAUCCUCCGUUUAACGAAUAUUCAAAGUGAAUCCCGUUUUUCCUGACUAGACUUUGACUCACCUAAGAUCUGGCAUAGGCUACCCGCUCCACUGAACUCUUACGCAAGAAACACUGCGCUCUUGGUAAGGAUCUCACAGGUUCUUCCGGAGCGUGAACUCCUGCAGUCACUGUACCCUUUCAGCUCUUCUCCUUUCCUUAAAGCUUGAGUCUGUCUCAAGUCUGAGCUGCGCCAAAUCCUGAGCUGGAGGCAGAGAAAAAGUGUUCUUCUUUGUUUCUGCGAAGCUUAGUGUCACCAGACUGUAUUACACUGCUCAUCCUAGUCUGACCCCUUCUUCAGACCACACCCUUCAAAUUCGCCUCCAGGUGCUGAUUCUCACAAAUGGUAAUACCCUUCCUAGCAAGUUGCAAAGGAUGCCAGAAUUCCCAGAUUAUUUCCAUGCACAUGAAUGACGUGGAAUGCAAGCAGUGAGCUGUUGCCCUUCUAAAAUUCUGUCCCUCUGCUUUCUUUUCAUGAAAGGAAGAUUGGGCCCCAAACAAUUCCGUGUCUUAAAAUGGUUUUAGGGAGUUUAAAUUAGUUCUGUGAACAUCAUCUCAACCCUGAAGUAUCAAACUAGGGUUGUACGUCCCACGUAUUUUUCAAACUUAGUUUGGACUCUGACAUUAAAACACACUUUGAUGCCGAGUUUCUAAAAAGACUAUCCUAGGAGGGUUUUUCACAUUUUCUCCUAUACCUCACCCUAUUCCAUUGCUCAUGCUGCUCCCCCUUCCUGAAAUGGCCCUUUUCCCAUCAAUUCUCAAUCAAAUAACCAUCUUUCUAGGAGUGUUCUCUACACUUUCCUACUCAUCGUCUGGCGAUGCCGCCUGUCCCCCGUUUGUGCCCCCAUGCUGCAUUCUAUGAAAUAGCUGCAUGUCUCUCUCUGUCUUGACUUAACCUAUAAGCUCCGAAAUGACAGAACUACGUUUACUUUUUGUAGUCCUGCUGCUCCGUGACAUCCUUGGCACUGAGGGAUUAUUCCAAAAAUAUUUGUUGGACUGUGGCUGAACACCCUGAAAGGUCUAAGGCCUCUCAUGCCAGACAAAAAUUAAUUUUCAGAUAAUGGAAUGAUCGUGGAAUGGUGUGUUUUGUUUAGUAUGAGAGAUAUUUUAGUCACAAACACAUAAGAGACACUUGCCAUUUCACAAAAUGCUUGUGACCCACAUACAGAA